GAUGAACGCUGGCGGCGUGCCUAAUACAUGCAAGUCGAGCGAACAGACGAGGAGCUUGCCCCUCUGACGUUAGCGGCGGAAGGGUGAGUAACACGUGGAUAACCUAGCUAUAAGACUGGGAUAAAUUCGGGAAACCGGAGCGAAUACCGGAUAAUAUAUUGAACCGCAUGGUUCAAUAGUGAAAGACGGUUUUGCUGUCACUUAUAGAUGGAUCCGCGGCGCAUUAGCUAGUUGGUAAGGUAACGGCUUACCAAGGCAACGAUGCGUAGCCGACCUGAGAGGGUGACCGGCCACACUGGAACUGAGACACGGCCCAGACUCCUACGGGAGGCAGCAGUAGGGAAUCUUCCGCAAUGGGCGAAAGCCUGACGGAGCAACGCCGCGUGCGUGAUGAAGGUCUUCGGAUCGUAAAACUCUGUUAUUAGGGAAGAAAAAAUGUGUAAGUAACUAUGCACGUCUUGACGGUACCUAAUCAGAAAGCAACGGCUAACUACGUG
rnacentral:rRNA from 1 species